GAUGAACGCUGGCGGCGUGCUUAACACAUGCAAGUCGAACGAUGAAGCCCAGCUUGCUGGGUGGAUUAGUGGCGAACGGGUGAGUAACACGUGAGUAACCUGCCCUUGACUCUGGGAUAAGCGCUGGAAACGGCGUCUAACACCGGAUACGAGCUUCCACCGCAUGGUGAGUUGCUGGAAAGAAUUUCGGUCAAGGAUGGACUCGCGGCCUAUCAGGUAGUUGGUGAGGUAACGGCUCACCAAGCCGACGACGGGUAGCCGGCCUGAGAGGGUGACCGGCCACACUGGGACUGAGACACGGCCCAGACUCCUACGGGAGGCAGCAGUGGGGAAUAUUGCACAAUGGGCGCAAGCCUGAUGCAGCAACGCCGCGUGAGGGACGAAGGCCUUCGGGUCGUAAACCUCUUUUAGCAGGGAAGAAGCGAAAGUGACGGUACCUGCAGAAAAAGCACCGGCUAACUACGUG
rnacentral:rRNA from 1 species